GCAGUCGCAGGGGAAGCCCCUUUCGGGGGGUGGAGACUGGCGGACGGGUGAGUAACGCGUGGGAAUUUGCCCUGGGGUGGGGGACAACCGCUGGAAACGGCGGCUAAUACCGCAUACGCCCCUAUGGGAGACUGUAGGGGGAAAGCAGCGAUGCGCCCUGGGAGGAGCCCGCGUUGGAUUAGCUAGUUGGUGGGGUAACGGCCUACCAAGGCAACGAUCCAUAGCUGGUCUGAGAGGAUGAUCAGCCACACUGGGACUGAGACACGGCCCAGACUCCUACGGGAGGCAGCAGUGGGGAAUAUUGGACAAUGGGCGCAAGCCUGAUCCAGCCAUGCCGCGUGAGUGAAGAAGGCCUUAGGGUUGUAAAGCUCUUUCACCCGUGACGAUGAUGACGGUAGCGGGAGAAGAAGCCCCGGCUAACUCCGUGCC
rnacentral:rRNA from 1 species